CGUCCCGUCGAAAGGAAAGAAAACGCAAAAGAAAUCUCACGCCGGCGCUGCGCCGCCACUGCCGCCGCCGUUUGCUCCAGAUAUCCUGCUUGCAUCGCCGUCGUUCCUGGCGCUGCCGCCACGCGUGCCCGUGCCGAGGUCACUUAACCAGGGUUUGCUGAGCAGAGAGAUCGAAGGCAAAGGAGCCGCCGCCGUGAAGGAAGAUCUCCUCCACCCAGCCCGCUGGCACCGUCGCCUUUGGGUUCAGAUCAAACCGCACGGCUUCGGUGAUGGCCGCCUCUGCUCCCCAAUUGUGCCGGCCUCUUCUAGGCGGCUACACCACUCCGUCCUCUGCCAGGUCGCCGCCGCCAGGGACGUGGACGCACGCGGGGCGGUCGGCAGCCAGUGAAUGUCUGAACGAUGACGCGCGUGCGAGUGUGCGGCGCGGUGCACGGAUCACCUCGCUGCCGCUACCGAGUUACCUGCUCCCAGCGAUGCCCUCUUGUCUCAUCCGUACAGGUUGCCACCAGGAAGAGGUGUGAUGGCGGCCAAGAAGAGAACAAUGGGACACUGAAGUCCCUUGGAUGUCCGUGUUUAUCACAGGAGCUCUCUCUUUUUCAUCUUUCUUUUCCUCUACUUUAUCCUAGAUCGGUGAUUACUAAUUUCCAUGUCUACUGGGAGGAAUAAAGUUGGCAGGUGAACCUUUGCAACUAUGUCAAUCACUUCUUUGUUUAAACUCAUAAUAUCAUCCCUUUUAAGCUAUUAAAUCAUAAGACAUAGUUUUGCUGUUGACUUUUUCUUAUUCCCACUUUAUUGCUUCACAUAGACUACUUGGGGCUUAUUUGAAAUAACCUGCUCUGAUAGUGCAGGAAAUCAUCAUAAAUGAAAAUAAAAGAUUUCAUAAGAAGGCAUACCAUGAUUUGGUGGAGAAGACGAAGGCUUUGUGUGGAAAAUUAGCUAGCUUUGGCAGGUUUGUUAGGCUAAUAUAAGGUAGGGAGCUUUGCUACAUGAUAAUACACAGAUGAUAUAUACUGGAGGAUAUUUUGCAAUUAGCAAGUUUCAAGGUCACAUGGAUGCUGAUGGCUCUUAGGUGUAUGUGAUAUUUGUUGCUGGG